rnacentral:rRNA from 1 species
GACGAACGCUGGCGGCGUGCUUAACACAUGCAAGUCGAACGGAAAGGCCCUGCUUUUGUGGGGUGCUCGAGUGGCGAACGGGUGAGUAACACGUGAGUAACCUGCCCUUGACUUUGGGAUAACUUCAGGAAACUGGGGCUAAUACCGGAUAGGAGCUCCUGCUGCAUGGUGUGGGUUGGAAAGUUUCGGCGGUUGGGGAUGGACUCGCGGCUUAUCAGCUUGUUUGUGGGGUAGUGGUUUACCAGGGCUUUGACGGGUAGCCGGCAUGAGAGGGUGAACGGCCACAUUGGGACUGAGAGACGGCCCAGACUCCUACGGGAGGCAGCAGUGGGGAAUAUUGCAGAGUGGGCGGAAGCCUGAUGCAGAAACGCCGCGUGCGGGAUGACGGCCUUCGGGUUGUGAACCGCUGUCGCCUGUGACGAAGCGUGAGUGGCGGUAAUGGGUAAAGAAGCACCGGCUAACUACGUG